AGCUCCAAUAGCGUAUAUUAAAGUUGUUGCAGUUAAAAAGCUCGUAGUUGGAUCUCGGGUAUCCUCUUGGUGGUCCUGUUCACGCAGGUACUGCCUUGAUGACCUAACCGGUGGCUGAACAACUCCGAGUGCCCUUCACUGGGUGCCCGCGAGUGGCCAUUGCGUUUACUGUGAAAAAAUUAGAGUGUUCAAAGCAGGCUUCUAUAGCCUGAAUAGUCAUGCAUGGAAUAAUGGAAAAUGACACUGGUGCAUUUCUGUUGGUCUCUGUAACUGGUGUAAUGAUUAAGAGGGACUGCCGGGGGCAUUGGUAUGGCGGGGUUAGAGGUGAAAUUCUUGGAUCCUCGCCAGACCAACAAAAGCGAAAGCAUUUGCCAAGAAUGUCUUCA
rnacentral:rRNA from 1 species